AAAAGUUAAAGCAGCCAACCAAGUCUUUUCUGAUAGGAAUGUUGGUUGUUCCACUGCCCCUCAAUCAGAAACCUGUUAUAGACAAGCAAAUCAAGAUUCACAGAACUUUUCAUGUUUGAGCCAGUGCACUCCAACCGCUUCUAGGUUCAGAAGGGUGAUAACUUCUUAUCCUGAGAUACAACACUGAGAUCAUAAAAGUGAAACCAGAAACAGUUGCUGGGCUUAUUCAGAUGGGAUACAAUAGUAUACUACUCCCCACCCCCACCCCCCACCAAGGAUAUUAGCCUUUUCAUACUAUGCCAAGCAAAAAAAAAAUGGAAUUGCUUUGUUAUGAUACAGGAAGGAGCAAAAGAUGGUGUGACUCAAUGGAGGAUUUUCAUUGGUGGCCCCUGUAAUCCAGCCCUGGUCAAUUAUUUCCAUUGCACCCUGAGUCAUUUAUCUUUCUGCAAGCAAAGCAUCUGGAGGCAGUAAUUGUAAAUAAUUCAUUCCUGUACAAUUCUGCAGUUGGAUUUAACUCUGAUCUCAAUGAAAGUGACAAUGUUGGAUGUUCCCACUUUUUAGAGAUAGUUGGUUUGCACCUGCGAUGGCUAUACUCUGCCCCAGAACUGUCCUGAGGGGUAGAGCUCCUGUUUAUAUCCCCCUACCUCUCUCCUAGGAGCUAAGACUCAAGAUCACUGUGCCCACACCUUGCCUUGAUCCAGUGACUUCAUGAUAUUUUACAUACUCUGAAAUUGAGAUUUGAGGAUUGGUUGUGCUAAGUGAUUUUUUUUUAAUAUUUAUUUUUUGGCAUAG
rnacentral:lncRNA from 1 species